rnacentral:rRNA from 1 species
UGACCUCAAAUCGGGUGGGACUACCCGCUGAACUUAU